AACCUAGCACACCUGCGGUGUGUACCUGCGGAAGGAUCAUUAUCGUUGGGCUCCUGCCCAUUCGAGAUAACACCCUUGCCUUUUUGAGUACCUUUUCGUUUCCUCGGCAGGCACGCCUGCCAACGGGGACCCUUCAAAACGCUUUGUAAUACCUGUCAUUGUCUGAUAUAACAAGCAAAAAUCAAAACUUUUAGCAAUGGAUCU
rnacentral:misc_RNA from 1 species